rnacentral:rRNA from 1 species
AUCAGUUAUAACCUACUUGAUCGUGUGACUUUAUUCGGAUAACCCUAGUAAUUCUAGAGCUAAUACGUGCUAAAAGCCUUAACUUCCAGCAAUGGGGGAAGAGGUGUAUUUAUUAGAAACUAAAACCAAUCAGCUUCGGCUGUUUGAGAUGAUUCAUAAUAACUCGGCAAAUUACGGGAAAAUUCCUGUGAUGAUUCAAACGGAUUUCUGACCUAUCAACUUUAGAUGGCAAAGUAGGGGUUUGCCAUGGUGACAACGGGUGACGGGGAAUUAGGGUUCGAUUCCGGAGAGGGAGCCUGAGAAACGGCUACCACUUCCAAGGAAGGCAGCAGGCGCGCAAAUUACCCAAUGCUAAUUCGGCGAGGUAGUGACAAGAAAUACCAAUGUAGGACCCAACGGGUACUACGUUUGGAAUGAGAACAAUUUAAAAACCUUAACGAGGAACAAUUGGAGGGCAAGUCUGGUGCCAGCAGCCGCGGUAAUUCCAGCUCCAAUAGUGUAUAUUAAAGUUGCUGCGGUUAAAAAGCUCGUAGUUGGAUUACGAAGUGGUGUUUAAAUGUCAUUUUGGUUUGUUUGUCUUUCGGGGCAUUCAGGUCAACUUGGCUUUUACUCACUGUUGUCAUUGUCUUUGCCCAAGGUAUAUGCCUUGUGUGCAUGGCAUUGACCUUCUAUUUUAUGGUAAUGUUGUAUCUUUCGGGGUACAUUCAUUCCAUAUAGUUUACUUUGAAAAAAUUAGGGUGUUUAAAGCAGGCGAAAAGGCUUCGGAAUAUAUUAGCAUGGGAUAAUAGAAUACGAUCUAGGUCGUAAUUUGUUGGUUUCUACGGCUUAGGUAAUGAUUGACAGGGAUAGUUGGGGUCGCUCGUAUUGAGUUGUCAGAGGUGAAAUUCUAGGAUUAACUCAAGACGAACUAAUGCGAAAGCAUUCGGCAAGGAUGUUUUCAUUAAUCAAGAACGAAAGUUGGGGGAUCGAAGAUGAUCAGAUACCGUCGUAGUCUCAACUGUAAACUAUGUCGACCGAGGAUCCGGUAGCGUUACAUGGAUGACCUUCCGGGCACUCUGUGAGAAAUCAUAAGUAUUUGGAUUUCGGGGGGAGUAUGGUCGCAAGGCUGAAACUUAAAGGGAUUGACGGAAGGGCACCACCAGGAGUGGAAUCUGCGGCUUAAUUUGACCCAACACGGGAAAACUUACCAGGUCCGGACACAGUGAGGAUUGACAGAUUGAGAGCUCUUUCUUGAUUUUGUGGGUGGUGGUGCAUGGCCGUUUUUAGUUGGUGGAGUGAUUUGUCUGGUUAAUUCCGUUAACGAACGAGACCUUAACCUAUUAAAUAGCUGCGCGAACCCAGGUUCUUUAACCAUUCUCUCCUUCGGGGGGGCGUGGUAUCAUUAUUUUGCUUUUCACUUUCGGGUGGGAGGUAGGGUAGUGAUAGGGCCCGAAAA